AACGAACGCUGGCGGUAGGCCUAACACAUGCAAGUCGAGCGAAGCCUUCGGGCUUAGCGGCGGACGGGUGAGUAACGCGUGGGAACGUGCCCUUUGGUACGGAAUAGCCCCGGGAAACUGGGAGUAAUACCGUAUGUGGUCGAGAGACGAAAGAUUUAUCGCCAAAGGAUCGGCCCGCGUUGGAUUAGGUAGUUGGUGGGGUAAUGGCCUACCAAGGCGACGAUCCAUAGCUGGUUUGAGAGGAUGAUCAGCCACACUGGGACUGAGACACGGCCCAGACUCCUACGGGAGGCAGCAGUGGGGUAUCUUAGACAAUGGGGGAAACCCUGAUCUAGCCAUGCCGCGUGAUCGAUGAAGGCCUUAGGGUUGUAAAGAUCUUUCAGUGGGGAAGAUAAUGACUGUACCCACAGAAGAAGCCCCGGCUAACUCCGUGCCAGCAGCCGCAGUAACAC
rnacentral:rRNA from 1 species